rnacentral:tRNA from 1 species
GCCUUCGUGGUGUAACGGUAGCACACUCGGCGCGUAAUCGAGAGGUCCAGGUUCGAGUCCCAGCGGGGGCA